rnacentral:rRNA from 1 species
AAACUUAAAGGAAUUGACGGGGACCCGCACAAGCAGCGGAGCGUGUGGUUUAAUUCGUUGCUACACGAAGAACCUUACCUGGGUUUGACAUAUAGGUUGUAGGGAACUGAAAAGGGACCGACCCUUCGGGAGCCUAUACAGGUGUUGCAUGGCUGUCGUCAGCUCGUGUCGUGAGAUGUUCGGUUAAGUCCGCUAACGAGCGCAACCCUCGUCGUAUGUUAUAUGUGUCAUACGAGACUGCCGGUAAAAGCCGGAGGAAGGUGAGGAUGAUGUCAAGUCAGCAUGACCUUUAUAUCCAGGGCUACACACACGCUACAAUGGUCUGUACAAUGGGUAGCCAAGCCGCGAGGCGGAGCCAAUCCUGAAAGCAGGCCUCAGUUCAGAUUGCAGUCUGCAACUCGACUGCAUGAAGCCGGAGUUGCUAGUAACCGCAGGUCAGCAAUACUGCGGUGAAUACGUUCCCGGGUCUU